CAUCUGGACGACCUGCUUGAAGGACGUGGUGUCGGCCUGGACGAAGGUGGUGGGGAACGGCGUGGUGUCGAUGGUGCGCGGGAUGGGCCGGGGGGACGGUGGGAGGUUGUGGGGUUGCGCGCGGUGGUGGUGGGGGUGAGACGGUGAGGUGGAGGACGACGACGACGAAGAGGUGGAAGAGGAAGGGGAGUUGGGGUCCUGCCGAUGAGGCACGGGGAGGAGCUGCUUGGUCGAGACCUCCAUUGAGUGAGUGUGGGUUUCCUUCCUGGGUUUUGGCGUUGGUGAGGAAGAGGGAGAGGAAGAGGAGGAGAAGGGGGACGG
rnacentral:lncRNA from 1 species